ensembl:snRNA U6 U6 spliceosomal RNA
GUGCUCGAUUUGGCAGCACAUACCCCCAAACUGGAAGGACACAGAGAUCAACAUGGUUCCCUCUCAAGGGUGACAUGCAUAUUCAUGAUGUGUGCCCUGUUUUU